rnacentral:rRNA from 1 species
GAUGAACGCUGGCGGCGUGCCUAAUACAUGCAAGUCGAGCGAACGGACGAGAAGCUUGCUUCUCUGACGUUAGCGGCGGACGGGUGAGUAACACGUGGAUAACCUACCUAUAAGACUGGGAUAACUUCGGGAAACCGGAGCUAAUACCGGAUAAUAUAUUGAACCGCAUGGUUCAAUAGUGAAAGACGGUUUUGCUGUCACUUAUAGAUGGAUCCGCGCCGCAUUAGCUAGUUGGUAAGGUAACGGCUUACCAAGGCAACGAUGCGUAGCCGACCUGAGAGGGUGAUCGGCCACACUGGAACUGAGACACGGUCCAGACUCCUACGGGAGGCAGCAGUAGGGAAUCUUCCGCAAUGGGCGAAAGCCUGACGGAGCAACGCCGCGUGAGUGAUGAAGGUCUUCGGAUCGUAAAACUCUGUUAUUAGGGAAGAACAAAUGUGUAAGUAACUAUGCACGUCUUGACGGUACCUAAUCAGAAAGCCACGGCUAACUACGUG